rnacentral:rRNA from 1 species
UACGUAGGGUGCAAGCGUUGUCCGGAAUUAUUGGGCGUAAAGAGCUCGUAGGCGGUGUGUCGCGUCGGCCGUGAAAACCUGCAGCUUAACUGUGGGCGUGCGGUCGAUACGGGCAUCACUGGAGUUCGGCAGGGAGACUGGAAUUCCUGGUGUAGCGGUGAAAUGCGCAGAUAUCAGGAGGAACACCGGUGGCGAAGGCGGGUCUCUGG